AUUGAACGCUGGCGGCAUGCCUUACACAUGCAAGUCGAACGGUAACGGGCCUUCGGGUGCCGACGAGUGGCGAACGGGUGAGUAAUGUAUCGGAACGUACCUUUCAGUGGGGGAUAACGUAGCGAAAGUUACGCUAAUACCGCAUAUUCUGUGAGGAGGCAAGCAGGGGAUCGGAAGACCUUGCGCUGAUUGAGCGGCCGAUAGCAGAUUAGCUAGUUGGUGAGGUAAAGGCUCACCAAGGCGACGAGCUGUAGCGGGUUUGAGAGGAUGAUCCGCCACACUGGAACUGAGACACGGUCCAGACUCCUACGGGAGGCAGCAGUGGGGAAUUUUGGACAAUGGGGGCAACCCUGAUCCAGCCAUGCCGCGUGAGUGAAGAAGGCCUUCGGGUUGUAAAGCUCUUUCGGCCGGGGAGAAAUCGUAUCAGCUAAUACCUGGUGCGGAUGACGGUACCGGCAUAAGAAGCACCGGCUAACUACGUGCCAGCCGCCGCCGUAACAC
rnacentral:rRNA from 1 species